AUUGAACGCUGGCGGCAGGCUUAACACAUGCAAGUCGAGCGGGGGAAGGUAGCUUGCUACCGGACCUAGCGGCGGACGGGUGAGUAAUGCUUAGGAAUCUGCCUAUUAGUGGGGGACAACAACUCGAAAGGGAUGCUAAUACCGCAUACGUCCUAAGGGAGAAAGCAGGGGAUCUUCGGACCUUGCGCUAAUAGAUGAGCCCAAGUCGGAUUAGCUAGUUGGGGGGGUAAAGGCCUACCAAGGCGACGAACUGUAGCGGGUCUGAGAGGAUGAUCCGCCACACUGGGACUGAGACACGGCCCAGACUCCUACGGGAGGCAGCAGUGGGGAAUAUUGGACAAUGGGGGGAACCCUGAUCCAGCCAUGCCGCGUGUGUGAAGAAGGCCUUAUGGUUGUAAAGCACUUUAAGCGAGGAGGAGGCUACUCUAGUUAAUACCUAGGGAUAGUGGACGUUACUCGCAGAAUAAGCACCGGCUAACUCUGUGCCAGCCGCCCGCCGUAA
rnacentral:rRNA from 1 species